CUUGAAGAGGACUCCGAGAGGUACAGAUAUUCAUGAACUUGGCUGGUAACUGAGCAGAUUUCUGUGCCCCUGAGGGACCUUGAGAAGCACGAACUGCAAAAAGUCACCUAGAGAGAAAUUAAAGGGGAAGAAAAGGCUGGUGGUGGGGGACAGCAAAGCUGCAGUUAUUUUAACUGGCUGGAAAAGCUGCAGAAGAGAGCAAGCCUUGCUCCAAAAUCUCCCUUGGUCUCUACCUCCUCCUGGAAGCUGAGCCCAGAGUCAGUGUGCCAAUGAUGCCUGCGUGUUUCGGCUCAGGCCCCAAAGAGUUCAAAGCAUUGAAAUUAUGACAGGAUUGCUUUGCAGCCCACUCAGCCGGUGCUUUUGUGUCCUGACACAGACAACAUGCAUGCUGUGGCUGGAGGCUAGAAGCUGGGUGAAGUCAUUGCAGGGGACAAAGCCUACUGGAGGACUAUGUAAGGAAUUGAAGAGACAGCUGUCCAGGCAGCAAAAAUGACAGGCGACAGAGCGUUACUUCCUACAAGACAGGAAGCUGUGGAAUGCUUUACUGGGCUGUGGCAGGCUGAAAGCUCCACUCCCUCCUUUGGACUUUUAUUGCUGCACUGGGCACCAUGGUGGCUCAAAGGAACUGCUGCACUGGGCAAGGAACUCUGUGAGAGAAGCUGUUUGAACAGCUUUACAUUUAGUGGCGAGUGCUGCUGUCAAGCAGAACUCUCUGGCUGACUUAUGAAGAGCAGUGUGAUGCCAGGUACAGGACCUGGACCACCGGGACCUCAGUUACUGACUACCAGAGGCACACAGCUGAGUGGGUAUGGAUCAUGCAUGGCAGUCCUAUGGCACAUUUAUGAGGAAAAAAGGCAUCUGGCAGACAUCCAAACUGUCUAAAAUAUGUCUUCGUUGAACUGUUCACUGUUUUAUGUCAUACCUUAAAUGUCUAGUAAGAUUAUCAGUGUGAAAUGUUAAGGGGUAUCUGAGGAGAGUGUAACUUUUUUUUUACAAAGUCCGUUUAAAAAAAGUUACAAUUAUGCCUUCCAGGAUUGAUUUGUAGGAUAUAUUCUAUAUUUAUUACUCUCAAUGUAGUCACUGCAAGAUCUGGUCAUGGACUGUAACGGCAGGCCGUGUCUAAAAACAACACACUUAGGGGUUCUCUAACUAUUGAUGAAUUACAUUCUAAAGAACGUAUGUGUGACAGAGAAUAAAUUCAUACUUGGAAGAGGAAAACUUGGCUCCUCACAGGACAUGGUUAUAAGUAUAAACAUCUAUAUUUAUGUAUAUGUAUAUAUACUCAGUUGCUACUGGUUUACAUGAAGGGAAAGCGCAUUUUAAUUUACAAGUCCUGGCAUUCAAAUAGAUUGGUACACCUUGAUGGCUUUCCUACUCUCUACUGGCCAGUGAAGGCCCUUUGCCAUCUGUGCAUUGUCCCAGAAUGACUCUAGCUUUUAGGACUGGUAGAGAGUGGCAUGACAUUAUACGUUACUAACAUUUAUACCUAGGCCAAGAAUGUUUCAAGUGGUCCCUUAAGUUCACAAUUGCUUUGAGUUGCCAGACUGUCACGAGCAGCCGGAGUAGAAGGGAAAAUUUAAUUCCAGUUAGUUGUACACAAAGGAGCGUUGGACAGAGUCCAUCCAUGUGAUGCUUGCAUUUUAAGUGGGGUAUCUGCUUCAGUAGACAAUGUACCAUUUGCUAAAUAGGUCAGAUUUCAGCUCAGGUGUUCUGGCUGGAUGAUGGUCUGAAUGCAUCUCCAGCUGAGGUAGGAGAGCUUCCCAUCCCGGAGAGAUACAGAUACAAGACGGUUUUUUAGGCUCAAUAGGCAGUUUCUGCAAGAGAUGGGAACUCUGCACUUCACUAUAACAGUCUGGCCCAAAGGUUAUUGAGGCUGAUGGAAAAGCUCCAGCUGAAUUCAACAGCCCUGGAGUAGGCUAAUGCAUGUAAUUUAUUCUUCUCCCUUUUCUUGUCCUUAAAAAAUGUAGGUAACCAUUUUCCUGUAUAUAGCCAUGCCUUCACUAUUUCUUAUUUCUUGUUUGCAUUUGUCGAGUAUUUAAAAGUCCUUCAGAGACUGGACAAGAGUGGGUCAGAGAAGAAGUGAACAGAGUUAUUAAGUCAGCCUGGGGCUAUUUCUCAAGUCCUAGGGUGAAAAAAAAACCAAUCAAAGAACAAUUUGCAUUUGUUAAUCCAUACCUCUAAUCUACUGUCAUCAAGCUGAAAUAUUUGCCUUAUAUUGCUAAACAAAAAGACCUCUGCAAAGCUUUGCAAACGCAUGUUUGUCAACUGCUAUUUGGUGAACUCUCUGAACACGAGAAGUGCUAGCUUGUAUUUGCUUUUUUAAAAAAGCAGAACAACUUCUUCCAAAAAGAGCUGUACAUGUUGAUUAAACUGACAUUUCCAUAUUUUUUUUAAAUUGUUCCACUGGUAUCUUCCUCAUCUAGAAUGUUUCUCCUUGGACAACAUUUUUCCUUUUUAAACACAGCCUUUUUAAAUUGCUAAGGUCACGUUUCUAGGCCUGACAACUGUUUCCCUUGUUGUUAAAAUUGACCAAAGAAAACAAAAAGACCAUUUUCCUUUUUACCAAAACAUGAUGAAUAGCUAAAAUAGCAUAUUAUUGAAGUAUUAGCGCUGUCACAUGUACCAGUCAAUUGUAGUACAAAUUUAUGACACAGUAAACAAAAUGUCAAACAGUGAUUCAGAGAAAGCACACUCAUAUGAAACAGAAAGCUGUCUUAUUGUGAGACUCAAUUAUUUCCUACAGCUUAGGCAAACGGAUGUUCCAGAAAUCAGCUUUUUGCAUUCCUGUAACUCUUAGUUCUCUGUGAAUGAGCACAUUUACACUGUCUUACCAUGAUGUCUGUGAAUGCAUUCAGUGUUAUCCAAAGAUGACAUAUGAUGAAUUCGGCAGAUGUAAAAUUCAAAAGCCUGGUACAUCCGUUUUCUCAGUCAUUGUGUAAGGUGCUGUGCUGCUACAUAGUCACACAGCAGCUCUCCACUGAUCAAGGUCCAAUUGGAGGUCCAGCAUGCGAGCUUCAUUGAAACAUUUCAGGGUUUGUUUUGUUCCAGAGGACAGUUUGACUUGCUUUGUCCCAUACUUGAAGACCAGGCUCCUGGGGUGCACCAUUCUGCCUGUGGUUCUGCAUGGAGGACUCUGAGAGUGGAGGACCAUGCUCACCCUUUGAAGGACCUAAGAAUUCUGCUAUAGUUGGGUCUUUUAUUCGUUAUACUACGUGGUGUUCUCCCACCUAUAGCUACCUUCACUUCCUGGGCUACAUUUUGCUGAACAGAGGUUUGAGACUGAAACUAUGUGCAAAGACUCAGUCUUCAUCCCUUCUCAUUGAGAUUAUUUGAAACGUUAGUCAUAAGGUAGAACAUUGUAGGGUGUGGGAAAAAUAGGUUGAUCAGGAAUUAAAAGCUUUCUGAUUCAGAUGGGGUUUUUUUUGCCCCUUGCUAGCAAUCCCUGUUCCCAACUAAAGAGUAUGACUUGAUACAGUUGAGAUGGAGUGUGGUCUUAGUUAUUUUGACCCUUCUUGUCUCCUAAGAUCUUUCCCAACCUCAUGAUGAGGAGAAAAAGAGCCUGCUGUUAUCAACGGGAGAUACCCCCUAUUAAUGAUGGAAAAGAUGACCAAAAGAAGGGGGUUUGCUUCAGUUCCUGAAAGAAUUCAUUCUUUGUAGUGCUUGAAGACAUUUAUUGCCAAGAAAAUGUUUUUAUAUACAUACAUAAGAAAUCUUUCAGACGCUAGAUAAUCUGAUCCUUAGAUAGCAAAAUGUCAGAUUUAGUUUCCACUAAAGCAAAUAUUUCCUCUGACAACAUUUUAAACUGAGUAAAAAGAACUACUAUUUGCACAAUUCUUUCUAUUUCUGAAGGAAAUCAGAGUGCUUUUCUUACACAGGGAACUGAUUUUGUAGUGAAAAAAACAAUCCUGAUCGGUUUUCCUUUUAAGCUGAUUUCCUCAAACAGGUGUAAGAGAUACCAGCAUUUUAGAAAACUUCUGUCCUUACCUUCUAAUAUAGAUGUACUUUUUUGGUUAUUUGGGGAAAAAUGGUUGCAAUGGGAAGAAAUUUCUAAUUAUAUUUCACUUUUGUGGCAGUGUAAUGGGCAAGACAGUCUCUUAUAACGUUCCAUAACAUUAGUGCCACUAAGUGAAUACACAUGGGUACUCCUAUCACAGGCAGAAAUGCAGCCAUCUAUCAACAGUUGUUCAAUAAGGAAGGAAUAAAGUUUUUUUAGCAUAGCUAUUUAAAUAUUAAACUAUUUUUCCCAAUCACAUUUCAAAAUCUAUGUCUAUUUUCUUGUUAUUCCUACUGGCAGCCGUAGUACUAAAUAAUUCAGCAGACAGAGUAGCCUAUGCCAAGUAUAACCCAAAAUCCCCAGACUUACAAAACUCAAUUUGAAGUUUCUUACCUUAAGCAAUAUAUUUAAUAAAUUAUGUAUUUUCUCCUUUAAUAUGCAUUUUCCAAUGGAUUUCAAAUAGCUGAGACACCAUCCCCUGGUACUAUUAAUUUUCAUAUUAAAGAAAGAUAAAAAGCUUAAUAUGUCAUAAAUAUUCCCCUAACCAAAAGUCUUACUGUGAAAAUAUGACCAUAGAGAAAAAUUAUUCUGAGUUCCUAUAAUCUGCACUUGUUACUACUGCAUGCAGAAAACAAGAGGUAAACAUCUAAUUAAAUGUAUAAUCAUGUCUUUGUGUAAUUUUCCAAAGAUAUAAUUUAUUCUAAAUUUACUGAAAGAAGUACAGAAAAAGGAAUAAUCAGCACAGCCUGGUAAUUAGGUAUGUGUCCUCUGGCAUGUAGCCUGGCAUAUUUUAGACCAAAUGUGGAUCUGAGCUGCACAUUUUUGAUGCAAAUGUUGACUGAUUUUGAACUCUCCAAAACUCAGGGUGUUUGGCUUAAGGUAUUGCCAGAGCCCAGUGGAAAGAAUACAGCAGCACCCUGCCUUCCAAUCAGAUUCCUACAUCUGUCGAUACUCAUGGGAUUUUGGAUUCAAUUUUAUCUUUAUCACACUCUCA